rnacentral:lncRNA from 1 species
UAGAAAUGACUGUGCACAUGGAGCUUUAGCCGUCUGGGUGGAUGGUGGGUUUGCAGGGAGGCUUUUACAACCUCUCCGCUCCGCUCCUCCACAGGGUGACGACGAGGAUCCUGCAGUGACGAACGGCCUGCCUGGACUCAGAGGCCCACCAGGACCGCAGGGUCCACCUGGUAUCGCAGGUUUACCAGGAAAGCCAGGGUUUCCAGGCAUCCCGGGACAGAAAGGAGCAGAUGGAACCAGCGGCCCACCUGGGCCACCAGGUGUGGACGGAUUCCCAGGAAAACGGGGUGAAAAGGGAGACAGAGGAGAGAGAGGAGAGAUGGGUUUGCCAGGACGGGACGGCGGGCCACCAGGACCUCCAGGUCCUCCCGGGCCUCCAGGACAGACCGUCUACCAGCCGACAGGCGACGUGAGUCACAGAAGUGCACCAAUCCUACACACACUGAUAGAUAGUAACCCACAUACCAGCCUGCCAGUGUAACUCCACCACUCACUCAGUCGCU